GACGAACGCUGGCGGCGUGCUUAACACAUGCAAGUCGAACGGAAAGGCCCUGCUCUUGUGGGGCGCUCGAGUGGCGAACGGGUGAGUAACACGCGAGUAACCCGCCCCUGACAGAGGGAGAACUUUAGGAAACAGGGGCUAAUACCGGAUAGGAGCUUCUGCUGCACGGGGGGGGUUGGAAAGUUUCGGCGGUUGUGGAUGGUCUGGCGGCUUAUGCGCUGGUUGGGGGGGUAGUGGCUUACCAAGGUUUCGAAGGAUAGGCGGCCUGGGAGGGUGACCAGCCACCUUGGUCCUGCGGUACGGCCCAGUCUGCUACGGGCGGCAACGGUGGGGAGUAUUACGCAGCGGGGGGGCGCCUGUUGCAGCGACGCCGCGUGCGGGAUACCGUCCUACGAGUGGUAAACCGAUUUCGCCUGAGCCGAAGCGAGAGUGACGGUACUGAGUAAGAAAGCACCGGCUAACUACGUG
rnacentral:rRNA from 1 species